GGAGAAAAGACUUGGAGAGCAAUGAAGCACCUCAGAAGAAAAAAAUUACGUGCAGAUGCAAGGCUGGAAGCUUUGCUAUGGAUGGCAGGAGGAGGUGUGCUCUGAGGUUUCCAGCAAUGAAAUCAGGAAGUGGGGUUGCUUGUAAGGUUGAGAAAGGCCAGCAGAAUAUUUUCUUGGCCUAAGUUGGAAUUGCAAGAUUGACAGUUUCAUCACAGUCCAGCAGAAGUGUCCCUGUAAAUAAUAGUUUGAGCAGGUGAACUGAGGGCAGCUGGGCUGGGUAACAGUGCCUCUGUUGGCCUCCCUAUUGAUCUGGAGAUGGGCAGGAAGCAAAUCCCUCAUGUUACCUGGCUUUUGCUCCAUUGGAUUUUACUCCAGCCUACCUGGGAGCUGAUCCUAUUUCCCUUGUUGACACGUGUGCUGCCAGUGCAGAGUAACUGAUGGCCACCUCAGCUCUCUAGAGGUUGAGAACAUGAGGAGAAAUAGGAUUCCUUACACUGUCUUCUCAUUGCUCAGCUCCUUUGUAAUGGCAUUUUCUCUCCUGGGUGAUAAAUCCAGCCUUAACUGCCAACCUUCCAUGGGAGGGGUCUCUUGCACAGGGAUGGGCUGAUCCUGAAAAACAACAACAGGGCAGCCGUGAUUUUCCUCACUCUACACUGUGGAAUUGUGUCCAGGGAAAUCCUUUGGCUGACUCAAACUUCUGAAUGUCUAAGUUCCCGAUUUGCACAGCUUUAAUUUCCCUUUCUGAGAUGGGACCCUUUAGGUUUGUUUUUAAUGAUUAAUUGAGGGCGUUGGGCAAGGUGUUUGCUCAGAGCAGUUUUCACCCUGUGCAAGGGGUGAACCUGUUUACUGGAUUUUUGCUCUUUUUCCCUCUCCAUUUUGUCUGUUUUAGAGUUGUGCUGCUUUUGGUGGCAGCUAAACCCACACGUGUACAGGAUUCUGCAUAUUUGGAGGGAGGUCUCAUAUCACUCACCUACGGAUAUUUUGUCAAUAACUUUUUAACGAAAUAUAUCGGACCCUGAAAGCUGCUUUGCUUGAGAGCAGUGUUCUGUCUCCCAUCUCAAUAUUUGCUUUUUGAAUUUUGCCCUCCCUCCUCAUUUCACUUUCCCUGAACCAUUUUGAUGGCCCAACAGAGCAACAAGUGUUGUUUGGUUGGUUUGGGUCUCCAGGCUGAACACCUCCAGCUCUCCCAGUCUGUCUUUCUGUGAGAGGAGCAAACAAGAACAGCAAAUCAGUGCCCAAAGGGGCUCCAACGAGCUGGAGAGGGACUUUGGACAAGGCCUGGAGGGACAAGACAAGGGGGAAGGGCUUCCCACUGCCAAAGGACAGGGAUAGGUGGGAUAUUGGGAAGAAAUUCUUCCCUGUGAGGCUGGUGUGGGGCUGGAAUGGAUCUCCC